rnacentral:lncRNA from 1 species
ACUCAGUAUCUUAAAAGCUGGAAGGAGUGCCCUGGACAAAGGAAAUGAGUGCUCAAGUCACUAAAUGUCACAUAUUUUACUAUAAAUGAAGAAUUAGGAUUCUAUGUUAGUCAUUGUCUUCUCUUGAACUUAUUUUGUGAAUGAGAUUUUGAAGGGCUUUUUAAUAGUUUCUAAACCUACAACACAAGAGAAUCAGCACCUGAGUGACAGAGAUACCGUAUAAACAAAAUCUCCCAGUGUUUUCUAUGAAUUCUCUAAUUUGGCCUUGAACUACAUCUUACACUUUCACUGAUUCAAGUUGAAUCUUAUUUCAUUGAUGAUUCACUUAACUAUCCUCAAGUGAUAGCAUAUAAUUCUUCCCAAAGAAUCAGUGUUUGGCAACUAGAAAUAAAUCAAGUACAAUUCAUGUCUCUGUUAAAGUGGGAAUGAUUAAAAUGAAACAAAUUAGAAACAUUAAUCAAUAAGGCUAUGUAUUUCAGGCCAUCAACUGAGAUUUUCAAUACAUAUCCAAGUCAGUGGAAAAAUAGAAUAAAGAAUUUGUUAUAUAAUCUUUAUUAUUGAAAAGUAUUGAAAUACCAUUAUUGGUAAGAUCAAAGAAGAUACCUAGAUUGAACGGAACUGAAUGUUAAAGAAAAUCACAAUUUGCUGAGUACAAUACAUGUAAUGUAUUUAAAGAAUAUGACCAAUUUCUGAUACACAUGAGAUGGGUGAUUGGCCAAAGCUUAACCACCAGAGGGAGAAAAGAAGACCUACUCGGUAGCAGAGCCUCCCCUCCCUGGGAGCUGCCACCUAGAGAUGCAGCUUUCAGAGUUUUCAAAAAAACAGUGAUGCAGACAGACAAAAGGACUAAACUAGUUCUGCCCCAUGGGAAGUACUUUUCUGUGUUUCAGGGUUCAUUUUAUUUGUGGACUUAUUUCAGCCUUGCAGAUCAUUUUGUCCUAUAUCCCGGUCUCUGCCCCCAACUUCAGGCUAGCAGCCAGAAGGCUUUAGCUUGUAGUUGUUGUCCAGCCAACAGCUUUCUGCCAAAAUGGAAAACAAUUAAAUGUUAAAGGGAGUGAGGGUGUUCCUGUCCACAUUACACCCUGAAGUGAGACAAUCAGGUCAGGUCUUUUUUUUAAGGAGGUUGGCAAUUCAGGUUUGAGAACUAAAGUUGCAAAAUGAGUACAAGUGAGUAAUUUACACACAGAGGAAGGAGUCCCAUUUGUAGACAAAAGUAAAAAUUGUAUAAUUAAACAAUUAUCUUCCAUGGAAGGAACUAAUUUGAGAUUUUAAUUUUUUAAUUCAGAGAAAUCUAUUUUAUAGGUACCAUGUGAUCAACAUACCCACAGCAAAUCUCUGAAAGGAUAUACAUAUAUCAACAUGGCAACAGUGACUCUCUCCAGGUAGUAAAGCAAUGAAUUAUUUUCUCUAAAUCUCUACUUCUGUAUUUUCCAAAACGUGUGAUUUGUCUAUAACAUAACAUUAUAAUUAAAUUAAUAUUAGUGAUAGCCAGCCUCCAAGAUGGUCCCCAAUGAUCCCCACCUCCUGAUAUUGACACCCUUUUGCUGUCCCCUCCCACACUGUGCCAGUGUUGUUCUGUGUGACCAAUACGAUAUGACAGAGACGAUAGUACAUCACUUUCAAGGUAAAGUUAUAAUAGAUGGUGGCUUCUGUCUUGGGUUUUCUCUCUCACUCUCUCCCUCAUCACUUGCUCUGAGGGAAGCCAUUGCCAUGUCAUAAACACAUGACUUACUUGGCAAGGAAUGUGGACCUUCAGCUGACAGCCAAUAAGGA